GGGAGAAGAGCCCCAGAUCCUCUGUCUCUGUGCUCUCCCUUCCUGCCCACAGAACUGUCCUCAUAAGACCCACCAUGCAGUCUGUCCUCAGUCUGCUUUCCAUCCUGACCCUGCUCCAAGGUGUGCAGGGUGAUGUCCAGCUGGUGGAGUCCGGAGGAGACUUGAGACAGCCUGGCGGGUCUCUGAGCCUCUCCUGUAAAGCCUCUGGAUUAACCAGCAGCUACUACUACAUGCACUGGGUUCGCCAGGCUCCAGGGAAGGGGCUCGAGUGGGUCGCUAUGGUUGAUGAGGAUGGUAGUAGCACUAACUAUGCGGACUCUGUGAAAGGCCGAUUCACCAUCUCCUGGAACAAGGCCAGCAGCCUCCUGAGUUUGCAAAUGAACAGCCUGAAAACCGGGGACACGGCCCUCUAUUACUGUGCUACAGGCACAGUGAGAGAAACCACAUUCUGUGCCUGUCAGAAACCCUGGGAGGAUUCCUGGGCUGCAGGUGGCUGGGGAAGCAGAGCAGCAGAGACCACAGACAAUAGCCCUGGCCUCUAAGACCAAUCAUUAAUUCUAUUAAGGUUGUUAACAAUUCCAAAACAAGCCCUAGCACCAAAUCCCAUUGGUAUGUAAAAUUAAAUGGGAACCAGAGCUUGAUUUUUUCUACAUCUAAUGAAUAUCUAAGAAAAUCCCUUCAAGGCAGCUGGACAAGUGGCAGUGCAAUUCAGUUGAAAUAUAAACUCAAUGGAAUCUAUCCUGAAUUGUGUUUCAGGAUUUAUAGUUUAGUUUACAAUGUUCGCAAUUAUGUCAGUAAACCUAAUGUUUGUUGAAAUGUGAUCCCACUAUACUCAGGCAACAAACCAACACAGUCUUCCAGACACCCACACAAGCUCUGGUGCAGGGAAGGAGAUACAGAUGGAGAGAAGCAGGAAGCAAAGGAAGGGCCACAGGUCUCGGCUGAUGCCUCCGGAUAGUAUAUGCAUUCAUAGGUUAUAAACACACAAGAACAACCUUUAAGCAUGAUAGAUAAAAAGCCUGCUUACUCAGUCCAGAAAAGUGUCAAAAGCAGAAACUAAAAAUAGUAAGAAUAGUUGGUUCAAAGAAUUAAAGCAAAUACUAGAAUAAAAUAUAACCUUUCCCUACUCUGUGACUCGCUCAUAAUGUAGCCAUGGUUCCCAACUUCC